AUGAACGCUGGCGGCGUGCCUAAUACAUGCAAGUCGAGCGAACAGACGAGGAGCUUGCUCCUCUGACGUUAGCGGCGGACGGGUGAGUAACACGUGGAUAACCUACCUAUAAGACUGGGAUAACUUCGGGAAACCGGAGCUAAUACCGGAUAAUAUAUUGAACCGCAUGGUUCAAUAGUGAAAGACGGUUUUGCUGUCACUUAUAGAUGGAUCCGCGCCGCAUUAGCUAGUUGGUAAGGUAACGGCUUACCAAGGCGACGAUGCGUAGCCGACCUGAGAGGGUGAUCGGCCACACUGGAACUGAGACACGGGCCAGACUCCUACGGGAGGCAGCAGUAGGGAAUCUUCCGCAAUGGGCGAAAGCCUGACGGAGCAACGCCGCGUGAGUGAUGAAGGUCUUCGGAUCGUAAAACUCUGUUAUUAGGGAAGAACAAAUGUGUAAGUAACUAUGCACGUCUUGACGGUACCUAAUCAGAAAGCCACGGCUAACUACGU
rnacentral:rRNA from 1 species